UCCGGGGUAGCUCAACAGGCAGAGCAAUCGACUGUUAAUCGAAAGGCUGCGAGUUCGAGUCUCGCCCCCGGAGCCA
rnacentral:tRNA from 1 species